UACGUAGGGGGCAAGCGUUGUCCGGAAUCAUUGGGCGUAAAGCGCGUGUAGGCGGCCCGAUAAGUCCGCUGUGAAAGUCCAGGGCUCAACCCUGGGAUGCCGGUGGAUACUGUCGGGCUCGAGUCCGGAAGAGGAGUGUGGAAUUCCUGGUGUAGCGGUGAAAUGCGCAGAUAUCGGGAGGAACACCAAUGGCGAAGGCAGCUCGCUGGGACGGUACUGACGCUGAGACGCGAAAGCGUGGGGAGCAAACAGG
rnacentral:rRNA from 1 species